GUUAUCCUUACGAGGGGAGACAGUCAUGAGACGUGAGUAUAAGACCUGAGUGUAAAGACCUUAGGGUGAAGCAAUUGGAGGGCAAGCUUUGGUGCCAGCAGCCGCGGUAACUCCAACUCCAAGAGUGUCUAUGGUGGAUGCUGCAGUUAAAGGGUCCGUAGUCGUGAAUGCAAUUAAAUGUCGUUGUUCAAUAGCGAUGAGUUUGCUAAUGUUUGCGGAACGGAUAGGGAGUGUAGUAUAGACUGGCGAAGAAUGAAAUCUCAAGACCCAGUUUGGACUAACGGAGGCGAAGGCGACACUCUUAGACGUAUCUUAGGAUCAAGGACGAAGGCAGGAGUAUCGAAAGUGAUUAGACACCGCUGUAGUUCCUGCAGUAAACUAUGCCGACAGCCUGUGUGUGAGAAUACGUGGGCGGGAGAAAUCUUAGUGUUCGGGCUCUGGGGAUAGUACGCUCGCAAGGGUGAAACUUAAAGCGAAAUUGACGGAAGGACACUACCAGGAGUGGAUUGUGCUGCUUAAUUUAACUCAACGCGGGAAAACUUACCAGGGUCAAGUCAUUCGUUGAUCGAAUACGUGAGAAUGGCAGGUGGG
rnacentral:rRNA from 1 species